UAAAUGAAAUCGAAUCUUAAAAGUGAAGACGAAGUAAUCUAAUUCAUUCCUUCGGAUGAUUUUUCAACCAAUUUUUCACAUUUAGCCGAGCAGGGUGAAAUUGGCUAAUUCACCCACUAGAAUACCUCGUGUUCCUUUAAGGAUUUUUUUGUCAAAAAUAUUUAUUAGCAUGGGACAGUGAGAAAAUGAAUCUUGUUCAUUGUACUAUCAAAUCAUAUCCAAUAUUGAGUGCCAAAUGCUACAUUUGGUCUUCAGUGUCAGCAUGGUGCGGACAACGACAUACUAGUUUUGUGAAGAUACCAUUUAACUAAACACAAGAGGUUGUCUUUGCAGUGAUUAGUUUAGGCAAUUACUUUUUUGUUCGUUAUUUUAUAGGUUCAAAUCAAAUGUAUGGGAUUGCCAGUUAUUCCUUGAUUGACGUUAAGCGUAAGCUAUUGCCAGCAGAUACCAAGUUAGAAAAGUAAUCAGAAAUGUGGUUUUGGCUAACUUACCCAAACACCGUCUAUUGAUUUGAAUUUAUAGGAUUACAAUGUAACAGGAUAACCAAAGCAAGAGAAAAUGUAGGAGCUAACUUAGCUCACAGCUGUACGUGUUAGUCUACUAAAUCAAUUACAAAGAUUCAUAAUUCAAAUAAUUCAAGUGGUUAAGUAACGUUAGAAGGAGAUAAUAUAGUAGCAAAACAUGGAGAGAAAUCUUCAGCAUAUGAAAGUUUGGGAUCAUCUUUACCAGACAUCUUAACACAUAAUUUAUCAUAAGAAACAAUACAUCAACUGAAAUUCUAGAAAGGUUUAAAAUUUCUCUACUUGUCUUUGUUUCUUAAUUAAUCGAAUGGACACUAACUAAACAAGAUAUGGCUACACAGAAUCGAUAAAUGAGAUCAUCAUCAACAGAUCUGAGACUAGGCAAGUAAAACCCUAGUCAUGAACACCUUCGAAACAGAUUAAAAAGCCAGAGAUGCAAAAGAAUACUUACAGAUCAGUAAAAUAAAUAGCUACGAACAAAAAAGGAUCAGAUUUUAUACCCACAAACUAAAUAAAAAUCAGAAAACAGACACAGAAAAAAAUCAUCCCUUAAACCCUCGAGAAACGCCCAAUCUGUAGCCACGAGGCAUCAAGGAUAAAUACAUAUCCGAAAACACAUACAUAUUGAAAAGAUAAAUGGAGAGAAUUUGAUUUUUGGCGCACCACAUAUUAUAAAUAAAUAAAUAUGAAAAUGAGUGAGCUUAGGGGAGAAUUGAAAAUACCUGAAGACAGGAAGGGCAAACGAAACGGGAAAGUUUUGAGGGGGCAGAUUUGGGGGUUCGUUUCGGAGAUGUCGAAGGUUAAAGUUUAAGGCUCGCCUUCAAAGUGGGUAUUUUCAUCUUCUUCCUUCUUCCUUGUUAUCUUUUUCUACAAUUCCUGAGUUGCCCACCCUUUGGCAUGGGUUUAUCAUCCACUUUGUCAUAGGUCUAUUUAUGAAUUAUAACGACAUAA
rnacentral:lncRNA from 1 species